rnacentral:misc_RNA from 1 species
UCCGGUUUGGCACCGGCAGUCCUCCAGAGUCCUCAGCAUGACCUGGUAGCAACUGGGAGCGGGGGUUGCGCUCGUUGCGGGACUUAACCCAACAUCUCACGACACGAGCUGACGACAGCCAUGCAGCACCUGUGUCCCGGCCUAUUGCUAGGAGGAGUCCAUCUCUGGAAACCGUCCGGGCAUGUCAAGGGCUGGUAAGGUUCUUCGCGUUGCGUCGAAUUAAACCACAUGCUCCACCGCUUGUGCGGGCCCCCGUCAAUUCCUUUGAGUUUCAGCCUUGCGGCCGUACUUCCCAGGCGGGGCACUUAUCGCGUUAGCUGCGGCACUGACGGGGUCGCUCCCCCCAGCACCUAGUGCCCAUCGUUUACGGCGUGGACUAC